CCUACGGGUGGCUGCAGUGAGGGAUAUUGGUCAAUGGGCGCGAGCCUGAACCAGCCACGUAGCGUGAAGGAUGACUGCCCUACGGGUUGUAAACUUCUUUUAUAAAGGGAUAAAGUGAGGCAUGUGUGCCUUUUUGUAUGUACUUUAUGACUAAGGAUCGGCUAACUCCGUGCCAGCAGCAGCGGUAAUACGGCGGAUCCGAGCGUUAUCCGGAUUUAUUGGGUUUAAAGGGAGCGUAGAUGGGUUGUUAAGUCAGUUGCGAAAGUUUGCGGCUCAACCGUAAAAUUGCAAUUGAUACUGGCAGUCUUGAGUACAGGUGAGGUAGGCGGAAUUCGUGGUGUAGCGGGGAAAUGCUUAGAGAUCACGAAGAACUCCGAUUGCGAAGGCAGCUUACUAAACUGCCACUGACAUUGAUGCUCGAAAGUGUGGGUAUCAAACAGGAUUAGAUACCCUUGUAGUC
rnacentral:rRNA from 1 species